rnacentral:tRNA from 1 species
CAGAAAGUAGUUUAGUUGAAAAUGCCAGCUUUGGGAGUUGGUGAAGAAGGUUUGACUCSUUUCUUUCUGW